AACGCACAUUGCGCCCGCCAGUAUUCUGGCGGGCAUGCCUGUCCGAGCGUCAUUUCAACCCUCAAGUCCCCCGUGGCUUGGUGUUGGGGACCGGCGAUGGUGCUGCACACCCCAGCGUGUGCGGUCCGCCCGCCGCCCCCCAAAUGAAUCGGCGGUCUCGUCGCGGCCUUCCUCUGCGUAGUAGCACAACCUCGCAACAGGAGCGCGGCGCGGCCACUGCCCGUAAAACGCCCAACUUCUUUUAGAGUUGACCUCGGAUCAGGUAGGAAUACCCGCUGAACUUAA
rnacentral:misc_RNA from 1 species